rnacentral:rRNA from 1 species
UAAUACGUAGGUGGCGAGCGUUAUCCGGAAUUAUUGGGCGUAAAGCGCGCGCAGGCGGUUUCUUAAGUCUGAUGUGAAAGCCCACGGCUCAACCGUGGAGGGUCAUUGGAAACUGGGAAACUUGAGUGCAGAAGAGGAAAGCGGAAUUCCACGUGUAGCGGUGAAAUGCGUAGAGAUGUGGAGGAACACCAGUGGCGAAGGCGGCUUUCUGGUCUGUAACUGACGCUGAGGCGCGAAAGCGUGGGGAGCAAACAGGAUUAGAUACCCUGGUAGUCCACGCCGUAAACGAUGAGUGCUAAGUGUUAGAGGGUUUCCGCCCUUUAGUGCUGAAGUUAACGCAUUAAGCACUCCGCCUGGGGAGUACGGUCGCAAGACUGAAACUCAAAGGAAUUGACGG